CCGUUUGCUUCUCAAACUGUUUCGUUACAUAUUUAAGCCAAAGGUUCAUGUGAAUGCAGCAGAAACAUAAAUUUAGGAAAUCAAUGUCAUUUGCGACAGGGGACGAUAAAAGGGCGGAUUCACAAUUCAAACCCAGCCAAUCGAUUCAAAGAAAGGUGAAAUAAAUGAACUUAUAAACAUUCCUGUGAAGAGUGAACACAGAAAGGAACAAGUAAACAUUACAAGAAAACGAUUCAGAUUCAACAGCUUUUAUCAGUAAUCAGAUUCUUCACUAUCAGUUACCUAAAACACAAACUGGUAUUCCUCCUGUUCAAAGUCAGGUCUGUCCAUAAGCAAACUCC
rnacentral:lncRNA from 1 species